rnacentral:lncRNA from 1 species
GACAGAUCAACUCAUUGAAAGCAGUCACGCACGAUCUCCAAACCUGUUGCUGAGAACGACUCUGCAAAUACAAAAAUCUGUUUAAUAACAACGCCACAAUACCGACAAUUCGUUCAAAAUUGUACGACUUCAGAAGCAAGAGGCUGAGGGCGGGGAUUUCUUUUUCUCUCAAAUCGAAGAAAAAAGAGCAAUUUGUGUAGGUGAAGAUAGGGUCAACGUUCACAAAGCUGUUCAUAGGUUAUUCGUGAACAAGGAGAUGAUAAUUUAUAGAUGUUGUGUUGCUUGUUUUUGCCAACAAACAAAGAUCUUUCAAAUGGAAUGAAUACUGCAUAACUUGUUCUUGAAGAACGAUGGUGGUCCUUUAAAGUGAAUAUUGUAAUAGAGGAAUGAUUGUUGGAACUUGUUCAGAACCAUAUAUAACACAACUCAUACCUAUAUUGAUCAUUGUUAUUGUAAAAUUGGGUCAAUGGUUGUACUUGUAAAAAGGGUUUAUGAGUUUAGUUGAACCAUUGUUAUGUAAUAUAUCAAAUUGAAUCAAUGAAAGAAUAUUUCAUUGUUGCUGC